GACGAACGCUGGCGGCGUGCUUAACACAUGCAAGUCGAACGGAAAGGCCCUGCUUUUGUGGGGUGCUCGAGUGGCGAACGGGUGAGUAACACGUGAGUAACCUGCCCUUGACUUUGGGAUAACUUCAGGAAACUGGGGCUAAUACCGGAUAGGAGCUCCUGCUGCAUGGUGGGGGUUGGAAAGUUUCGGCGGUUGGGGAUGGACUCGCGGCUUAUCAGCUUGUUGGUGGGGUAGUGGCUUACCAAGGCUUUGACGGGUAGCCGGCCUGGGAGGGUGACCGGCCACCAUGGGACUGAGGUACGGCCCAGACUCGUACGGGAGGCAGCGGUGGGGAAUAUUACGCAAUGGGCGGAAGCCUGAUGCGACAACGCCGCGUGCGGGAAGACGGCCUUCGGGUUGUAAACCGCUUUCGCCUGUGACGAAGCGUGAGUGACGGUAAUGGGUAAAGAAGCACCGGCUAACUACGUG
rnacentral:rRNA from 1 species